rnacentral:sRNA from 1 species
GUUUUGAGUAUUCCCAUCUUUCUUAUUAAAAUUGGUAAUAAUAUCA